AAGGAAGGAAGGAAGGAAGGAAGGAAAGGAAGGAAGGAAGGAAGGAAGAAUAAGAAGACAAGGAAGGGAAUUUGAGAAGAAAAAGAAGAAAAAGAAAAAAUUAGGUAAUGUAAGGUAAGGUAAGGUUAGGUUAAGGUAAGGCUAGGGUAAAGUUAGGGUAAGUUAGGGUAAUUUAGGGAAGGUUUGGGUAGGUUUUACGUCAUGUUCUGGACCAGGGACAAGGGACAAGUAGGGUAAGGGUGUUAGGUAAGGUUAGGUUAGGUAAGGGUAGGUAAGGGAAGGGUAAGACUAGGUUAUGUAAGGGCAAGGCUAGGGUAGGUAGGUAGGGUAGGUUAUAUUAGGUUAGGUUAAGGUUAGGUUAGGUAAGGCUAGGUUAGGUAAGGCUAGGGUAGGGUAGGUUAGGUUAGGUUAGGUAAGGCUAGGGUAGGGUAGGUUAGGGUAGGUUAGGUAAGGCUAGGGUAGGGUAGGUUAGGUUAGGUUAGGUUAGGUUAGGUAAGGCUACAUUAGGGUAGGUUAGAUUAGGUUAGGUUAGGUUGAGGCAAGGCAAGGGUAAGGCUAAGGAAAGUUAGGGUAAGGCUAGGGAAAGUUAGGGUAAGGCUAGGGAAAGUUAGGGUAAGGCUAGGGUAAGGCUAGGGAAAGUUAGGGUAAGGUUAGGGUAAGGCUAGGGAAAGUUAGGGUAAGGCUUGGAAAAGUUAGGGAUAAAGUGCCUGGAACACUAGUGAAGAGGGUGGGGUGGGGUGCAAGGGACACACUGAUAAUAUACAGCAUUGCCACAUAAAACACUAACACUUGUACUUCUGAGCCACUCCUUGUUACUCUAAGUCGCAUUAGGAACCAUUAUAUUAGCAGCCCAUAUCAUUGACGCAGAGGAGGAGGAGGAGGAGGAGGAGGAAGA